GACGACGCUGGCGGCGUGCCUAACACAUGCAAGUCGAACGGGGUAGGAAGCUUCGGUUUUCUACUUAGUGGCGAACGGGUGAGUAACGCGUGAGAAACCUGCCUUUUAGUGGGGGACAACAGUUGGAAACGACUGCUAAUACCGCAUAAUGUAUUUAAGGGGCAUCCCUUUAAUACCAAAGAUUUAUUGCUGGAAGAUGGUCUCGCGUCUGAUUAGCUUGUUGGCGGGGUAACGGCCCACCAAGGCGACGAUCAGUAGCCGGUCUGAGAGGAUGAACGGCCACAUUGGGACUGAGAUACGGCCCAGACUCCUACGGGAGGCAGCAGUGGGGAAUAUUGGGCAAUGGGCGAAAGCCUGACCCAGCAACGCCGCGUGAAGGAAGAAGGCCCUCGGGUUGUAAACUUCUUUUACCAGGGACGAAAUUUGACGGUACCUGGAGAAAAAGCAACGGCUAACUACGUG
rnacentral:rRNA from 1 species